UCUUCAACAUUGUGAAACUCUAGUUUCAUAAAGAGACACACCACGACAACACCUCAUCACUUCCUCUAGCUACAUCUUGAUCACCACUCCUCCCUCUGUCUCAAAUAUUCUCACAAGUUUGCACCUUCGUCGGAGUACGAAGAUGUCGACGGAGUUCCCUUAACACACCACAAGAACCUCGUGUCGCCACUGCAAUCCAUCGUCGGAGACUCGGGACUCACCGGAGCACAAGCCGGAACAAGUAAGACCUACCGGAAAACUCGAAGACGUCACCGGAGCUCGACGACAACAUCACGACGAGUAUUGAUACUCCACAGUUGCGAAAGGGGGUACCCAUUUGGUUAAAUGAAAAGAGAUUUUGAUGAUGCAAGGAAUCUAGUAGGAUUGCCUAGAAACACAUUUAAACUUUAAUACUUGUUGUACUGUAUUUUAUUUUCAAACAUGUUGUAUUUUGUUUCCAAGCCUUGUAUUAA
rnacentral:lncRNA from 1 species